AGCAAUGCUGGCGGCAGCAGCCGGGCACCUGAUAGCUGAAGCUACAAAAAAGUCAAACUUACUAAAUAGUAUAAAGACAGGAGACAGCACCCAAAGCAGCCGAGACCUAGCCCACCCUGGCUGAAAGACGGUGACUCCUGUGCCGAAGCAGAGGCUGACAUGGGUGAACAGGACUGCCUGGGGCAGAGCUGUGACCGCUGGGAAACAGAUGUCUUUUCUGCUGCUGAGCAGACUGGCAGGCAGCCGGUGAUGGGGCCCUACUUGGAAGACCCCCUCCUCUGCUGGCUCCUGCGAUUCUUCAGCCUCCUCGUCAGUGUCUACAGCAGUGGGACCAAUGGUGGAGGCCCUGCUCCUGGAGUUCAGGAUUCUGGAGCUCCUGAUCCUCUGCAGGGGAUCCGAGGAGGUUCUGUGCUGUUUCCUUUGCCCAAGAAGCAAGACGCUGAGCUGGAGGAGGUCACGUGGGGCUUUGGUCCUGGGUCAGAGUACAGAGUCCUGCUGCGAGUCCGUCCUGGGAAAGCUCCCACCUGGGUCAGCCUCCAGGACAGGUACCAGCAGAGGGUCCAUGUGCCCAACAUGACGUCCCUGAAGAUUGAGAACCUGACCCCUGAGGACAGUGGGCUGUACCGGGCUCGAGUUAGCUUUACUGGAGGAGUAGAACUUACCAAGGUUUUCCACCUCACUGUCUAUGAGCCAGUGACCAUUCCCCAGAUCCUGGUCCACUCAUCAUCCAUCACACCAGGCUGGUGCAAUGUUACCAUGGAGUGCAGGACCUCAGGGGACACAGAGGACCUGAAGGUGACCUGGGAGGGCAAGGGCCUCCCCAGGGAGCUGGAGGAGAGAGUGACAUCAGGACCAACCCCCAAUUCGUGGACCCUGGCUGUGCACCUGCCCCAGAGCCAGCCCUACACCAACAUCACCUGUGUGGUCAGCAACGAAGUGGACCAGAAAACUGCCACCUUCAACCUUGGGGAAGUCUGUGUCCAUGGUUCACAUGGACAAGCCAAUGCUGUUGCCCUGCCAGGCAUCUUAGGGGCAGGGGCUACUGUGGCUACACUAUUACUGAUCCUUGGAAUUGGACUCUGCCUUUGGAAGAAGAAGAAGAAGAAGAAGAUGGAGACUGCAAGAGGAUUGCAGGAGGAGUCUAAGGACCGUGACGGUGGCAUCCAAUAUGUAGAGCUGAGCCAGCAGGAUUCUCGAGAGAGCACGGACCAGGGUGAUGGUGAACGACGUCUAAAUGAAAAGGAGUCUCUUAAUACUGUCUACAGUGAGGUCCAUAAGCCAGCAAGUGUGCCCAUGAAGAUAAUUUAAUUGGAGGAGGCAGAAGAAUUGACACUCCUAGGACACCUCCAUUCUGAAUUUGAUCCCUGCAGAUACCUGCCCCUACGAGUGCUGGUCCAGCACCAGCUGCCUCUGGUCUGCAUUCCUCUGACCUUUGUGCCCUCAACUCCCUGGGCUCACGUGGCCCUGUCACUUCCUCUGUCAACUCUAUAUGCUGCCUUCCACUCAGGUUCCUCACUCCAGAAGGACUAGUGCUCUUUCUCCGUCAUUGACUCUGCUCCUGAUUCCUCUCCUUCUGAAGUUUCCCUAGGAGGAUCUCCCUACCUGUGCAUGUGUUCAUCCCCACAGCCUCUGCGCUGUGGCUGGUGUGUAUCUUUCUGAGAACAGGAGCCUGGGCGUGGGGACUGUGUGGAGGUUUCGACUACACCAUAGAGGGAGUUAGGAACUUGGAGCUGGGUGUUGAGCUGAGUGUCCAUGGAGGUGGCCUGGAUGGAUGGGUAGGAGCCUACAAAAGACGGGCCUGAGGCGUCCUUUGUAUGGCAAAAGGUGUUGGAGGGACUGUCUAGUAUACAUCAUACAUGGGGGCCAGAGCCCUUGAUCCUGAUCACCCAUACUAACCUCAGCUUCAGCUCAUGGGCCUUAAAUCCAUCUCUCGUGGAAUGUGAAGAGGAAUUUGUAUUGUCUCUGGUCCUUCCAAGCCAACUCCUUUUCAGAGAAAGACCCCAGGAACCCAAUGUUGGGACUCUGUGUUCUUCCCUGUCUGGGCCAGGGGUUCUUGUCAUUAGAAUGGUCAUGCAGGGAGUUCCUGUUUUGCAGCAGUGGAAACAAGUGCUACUGGUAUCCAUGAGGAUGCAGGAUCCAGUAUUGCUGUGAGCUGUGGUGUAGGUCGCAGAUGCGGCUUGGAUCCCACAUUGCUGUGGCUAUGGUGUAGGCUGGCAGCUAUAGCUCUGAUUUGACCCUUAGCCUGGGAAUUUCCACCUCCAUGUGCUGUGGGUGUGGCCCUAAAAAGAAAAAGAAAAAGAAUGGUAGUGCAUGUUCCCCCACCACCCCCAUGGUGAGGCUGCUAUGAGGUGUGAAGGGUGAAACUUAGGGGAAGGUCUGAACCAGCCCUCUCCUGCCUCUUCUACUGACCCUCAGACCCCACAGUCCUGCUGGCCUCAGAUCCUGGGUCAGUCUCCUCUUUGCUCACUCACAUCCCUCUGCCUGGAAUGAUGGAUCCUUUACCCUGUCUCUUAUUCCCAUCCCUGGCUGUUGAAAACCUACCAACCCACCCAAAGCCUCUCUUCAAGUCACGUGUUCCAGGGAGCCUGUCUGCUACCAAGAGUUGGAAAUGUCCUCUCCCACAUCUGACCUUCUUGAACACCAUGGACAUAACUAAGGCCCUUGCUGCUAUCGGCCAUGGACUGGUCAUGCCAGACUUGCCUAGGGCUCCCUCAAGAGGGUGUUGGGGUUUAGGAGGCAAGGACCAAGAAGACAAACACCUGUCUCUAAGCCUCCUCACAACUUCCACGGGGACUCAGCAGACUGAGACCCAGAGCACAGAGGCUGCUGAAGGUCUCACUGGUGGUGAGCCCACUUGGAAGCAAAGAGGGAUGUGAUGACCUCCCAUGACCUUGCCUGGCCCAGAGAUCUGAGGAGGGGCUUCCCCACCCCAUCUCCAGCCUCCCAUUGCCUGAGGACCUGAUACAGCCUGCACUGUGCUGUGUGGGGUCUUCUCCUCCCCCUGGGGGUUUUCAUCUCAUCAAAGCCUCUGCCUCCUGCCUUCGGUCUCAGCUCUUGGGUCAGAGAUGGGCUCGCUCUGGAACGAUGAUCUGUGGAAACUUGACUGCUGGUCUAGAUUCCUGGAUUUCUUGGUUCCCUUCCCAGCUCAGCAAGCUCAGCUGAUUCACCUCUAACUUCAGAAAGCAAAGUUCUGAGCUAAAACCUUGAGCAUGAUGAAGCAAGGCUGGGAGCCUUCUUCCCAUGGAUAAAGGAGGAUGAGAGUUUCAAUAAUAAAGCUGUUUCUAACCUCUUUCUGCUCAGGCUGAACAGAAGGCUAAGAGAAAAAGAGGAGGUCUGCUACUGGCCUCCCAGGUGACCGGUCAUGCCUGGGUGUCAGUGCCCAUCAGCCCAGAAGCAAUGUAAGAGGUGACUACCCAUUGAUCCCUCCCCUCCAACCUAUAGCA
rnacentral:lncRNA from 1 species